UCUACAAAUCGAGUUCCAGGACAGCCA
rnacentral:piRNA from 1 species